rnacentral:rRNA from 1 species
GAUGAACGCUGGCGGCGUGCCUAAUACAUGCAAGUCGAGCGAACAGAGGAGGAGGGUUCUCCUCUGACGUUAGCGGCGGACGGGUUAGUAACACGUGGAUAACCUACCUAUAGGACUGGGAUAACUUCGGGAAACCGUAGCGAAUACCGGAUAAGAUAGUGAACCGCGGGGUUCAAUGGUGAAAUACGGUUUUGCUGUCACGUAUAGAUGGAGCCGGGCCGCAUUAGCUAGUUGGUAAGGUAACGGCUUACCAAGGCAACGAUGCGUAGCCGACCUGAGAGGGUGACCAGCCACACUGGAACUGAGACACGGUCCAGACUCCUACGGGAGGCAGCAGUAGGGAAUCUUCCGCAAUGGGCGCAAGCCUGACGGAGCAACGCCGCGUGAGUGAUGAAGGUCUUCGGAUCGUAAACCUCUGUUAUUAGGGACGAAAAAAUGUCCACGUAACUCUGCCCCUAUUGACGGUACCUAAACAGAAAGCAACGGCUAACUACGUG